AGGAAGAAGAGGGGGAGGAGAGAGAAAGAGGAAGAGGUAUGAGAAAGAGGAAGAGGAGGAGGAAGAGGGGAAGGAAGGGGGAAGAAGGGGGUAGAAGGAAGAAGAGGAUGAAGAGGAGGAUGAAAAGGAGGGGAGAAGAAAGAAGGAGGAGGGGAAGGAGGAAGAGGAAAAAGGGGGUAGAAGGAAGAGGAGGGGGAAGAGGAAGAGGAGGAAUAGGAGGGAAGAACAUAGAGGAGGAAGAGGAACUGACAGGACAAGGAGACAAAGGACAGGACAAUGUCUGCCAAUGCUGGGUACCAGCCAGAAUUCACCAGGAAAAGACACAUUCGACAGAUAUUCCAGGAGGAGCAAAGCCCUGUGAUUCAAGUUCUUACUGCUGAGUAAUCCUCUCCUGGAGGAGGAGAGAGUAGACACUAGGUUCCCAGUGGAGAAACACAAAAGCCACAGGGUCCCCUCCAAAUGCAAAAAAAAAAAAAAAAAAAAAAAAAAAAAAAAAAAAAAACCACAACCCCACUUAAAGCCAUCGAGCCAUCGACUCUUGUUGGAAAGUCAGCCUCUGGAAGCCUAAACAAAGAUGUUCUUUUGAGUCUCAGCCUUGAAUCCAGAACCUAGGGUCUUUGGGUCCCUCCACUCUUCCCAUAGCAAUUGACAAAACCGAGCUGUGUCAGACUCCCAACUCUGGCGAGGAAAAACCAAAACCUAAGACUCUGCACUAAGCUCCCAGCCUCCUUGACUCUGGCCAGGACACAGCCAGGCUUAGGGUGGGGUCUGCUUCAACCAAGACCUCUUUGAGGGUUCUUCGGGCUCAGUUUGUCUGCUACAGCCGAGAAAGGCUUGCCGUAGCAUAGCAGCCAAGGAAAGCAAGUGAGCAGCGGUCAAACUCCAUGCAGUGUUCUGGAUAGGCAAAGAGCAGCCCAAAGCUGGGGACUGCAAAAGAAAAGUCGAGAGAGGCAUGACAACCACCCACCCCCAUGACCUGCAAAACUGGUUGGCUCCAAGCUUCUCCCGUGCCGGUACAAGAGGGAAGCGUCCUAGUUUGGACAGAAUCCGCGGGAUGUGUGUCCAGCGCGUAGACCCCAGGCUUUGACUUGUAAAAUCCCGCACCUCCCCUACACUGAGGACCCGAGUGCACACCAGCUCUCCGUGAUGUGGGUUAAACUCCACUUCACAACCCCCAUUGAUACGGGUUUGACAUCUGUUUGCCAGAGUGUUUUGCACUUAGGCUAACACCCACUAUUAAAUGACAAAACUGUGACAGCCUGUCAAAGCCAGCUGACUGGCAGCUGCUCCACUCACAAAAACCAUUCAAAUAUUUGCAGGUUCGCAGUCUUUAUACACUGUUGUACCCAAUCUUUCAGUGAUUUAACAUGUAAAAUAUAAGUCAAAGUUUUAAAUCUGGAUUCCAAAAUGUUUCCAUUUUCCAUACAAAAGGAAAGCGCUUCCUGGUGUCUGCUGGAACGACUCCAACUUCAGAGUCUCCCCGUUUCCUGCCCCCCAGAUUCCUGCACAAACCCGGUUUUUUUUUUUUUUAAACACCCAAGGCCAAAUUCCCUCUGUGCUGCUGACAUUCGGAAUAAAUGAACUAAAUUAUUUAGAACUCCAAGGGAAUGCGGUUCCUCAAAAGAAGGCUGAAAAAAACAAAAACAAACAAAUAAACAAAAAACCCAAAAAUGAGUCACCAAGGCCUUCCGCUGUUUUACUCUUCCUCUCUGUCAGACCAACGAGUCUUUAGGGGGAAAGUCUUGCAACUAGGGAAAGUAUUUCUAGACAGCUCAUCAGCGUUGGCGAGUCCCAGCACAGUAAAUCCUGCAUUGCACAUCGAAAUCGGCUCAGUCCGAUUAAGAAAUAAUUUGCAAAUGACAAAGCGUUUGCCUAGAUUAAGAUCCAUGGAGGGAAAGUCAUGUGGGAUUUUCUAUCUGAGGUUAGAACCAGACACAGAACUGCUGAAAACACGCAGCUGCAGGGGUUGGGAGGGGGGCAUAUGUUUGUCCAUGAGAGAGAGUUCCAGAUAAGUACACACCGCCAGCAUCCCGACCGGGUGAGCAAACGCCUGAUAUUGUCACGUGUGCUGUGUAUGUACAUAAAAAAAAAGAAAUAUUAGUGACCGUCUUGCCUUAGGUUGUGAGUGAAUUGUAAAUCCUUUGGGCGUUAUCUUUAAGAAAAGAAAAGAAGGAAGGGGGAAAGUUUGCUUUUGAGACAUUUCCUAGGUGUCACAGAGGGUUUAGGUCUCUAGUCCAAAGUGCUGACAUUUCCUACAGUUAGGGACCAAAGGGGAGAAGCAAGGAAAAACUGAAAGCCAGACUUGAGCGGCUGCUGUCAAGCGGCCUUCUCAGAGGCGCUACGCCCCGGGGACCGUGCGCCCUGCUUGGAGGUGGGCUGGUUGGCAGCUCCAGCCUUGCAGCAGAGACCAGGGACAGGGACCGGCGGAAGGAGGGAAUUACAGAGUGUUGGGAGGGUCUCCCGCUGCAGACCGGCUGGCCACGCAGUGGCUACUGCCCCUGAGAGCCCCGCCCCGCUCCCUCUCUCUGUGCGCACCGGGACAGACCCCUGUCUGGGCGAGAGUUUUUUUUUUUUUUCUUUUCUUUUCUUUUUCUUUUUCUUUUGCUCUUCUCCUUUUUUUUCUUUCCUUUCCUUUUCUUCUUCUUCUCUCUUUUAACCUGGAGAGCUUUGUGUUCACACUCUAAUCCUUAGACACUGUCUUUCGUUCUGUUGCUGCCCUUGGUAGAGGGAGUACUAGAGGGGGGUGGGGUUGAGGAGCGCAUCGUAGGAGGGGGGAAAACGCUGCCCUAGCUGCUCCCGGGGAGACCUGGCGCGGCGCCCACGUCCAAGGUGUCCCCUCGGCAAGACAACAAAGCUCCAGCCGAGAGCAGAGCCGAAAAAAAACCCACUGCGAGGACACGGUGGGGGCGGAGGGGGCGCGCCGCUCCGAUCCCACGCAAUGACCGCGCUGACUCAGGAGUGCGGGCGGGGGCGUCCCCCCUGCAAGAGGUAGGGAAAGCCGGAAAGCCGCUCCAGGUGAAAGUCGCCGCCCGUGGGAUGCCACAAGUGACUGCUGACAGGGAGAGGGGGUGUGCGAUCCUCUCUGGGGGAGGGUGCGGGAUCCCUACGGUUCUAGGGUCCCGAACCUCUGCGGUCGGGCCAGCGGGAGGGGCGGUGGACGCCGGCGAAUGGGGAGCGGCGGGGACCCGGCUGGGGAGCAGCUAGAGGAGGGCGAGCAGCGGCUCCACCUCCCCGCUCGGCUCGGCGUCCCAGCUGCUCACGAAGCAACGGCUCCCUUCUAUUCACUGCCGAGCAGGAACAAAAACGCGGCUAUUUAUUAGAAUACUUGUUUGGUAUUGUUCAGUGCCACACAAAAGGCGCUUCAUUAUGUGGCGGGAUCCCCCUUUUCCAGAGAGAAACAAUAACCUGAAAUUGUCUUGCGAGUCUUUUCUAUCAAUAAUAAAUUUCAUUUUCUUGUCUCUCUCGCCUGCAGUGUGUGCGUCUGCGAGUGUGUGUGCCGAGCUAGGAGCAAGGAGCUUGCUUGUGGGAGCGAGUGUGCGAGCGGGGGUGCGCGUGUGAGUGUGCGUGCGCGUGGCGCGGGCGCCGUCGCUGCUAGGAGCCUGGCCGGGCCGGGGUCCGCUGGCUUCAGCGCGUGCGCUCGGCCUGCAGGGAGCCCAGGUCCCACGCGGCGGGCAACCAGACAGGGCUGCGAAGGUGCAGGCCGGCCAAGCGCUGCGGACCCGGCGGGCUGCAGGAAGAACUAACUAGACCUCGAACAUCCGCUGUCAGCAGGCACAAGGCUGUGUUCCGAGAUGAGCAACCGAAGCCUCCUCUGCAUGUGUGAAAAAGAAGCAAGAGGAGAAAGCAGGGCUCCUGAAAGCCAGGCUGAUGAGGGAAAUUCCUGUGCUGAGUAAACAUGAAUUUCUGAAUAGGCAGAGUCUAUGUGUGAACAGCACAGGAGCUCGCCCCACCCCACCCCGGCAGACAGCCAGGGGUUUCAGGGAGCCAUGAAGAUGUCUCAGCAAUGUACACAAGACACGCAUAGGUGAAGCUGGACACUAGUCAGACCUGUGAAGUAACUUCCUGUAACAGAGGGAGGAAGACUGGCGGGGAUCAAGUGAUCGCAUCACCUCAUUGGCUCUGCAGGUCUAAGUCAACUCAAAGGCAACCGUGGCCCAGAUCCUCCUGACUUGUCACCGAGAGUGGCUGGAAUGAGUGGUGCUGCAGGAAACGCGGAGCCGAACUUUACAAUAAAAAAAAAAAAAGUAAACUUUGAAUGUCAGCGACAUUCGACGUGGGCGACGUGCGUUGGGAUGUUCAAAGCGGCUCAGAACCUCUGAGUGAGCACAUACAGUCUGGGUUCUCAGUCAGACGAUUCCUACAGGGAUUUGCUGACUUAGGGGUCUCAUGAGCAAUCCAGAGGAAGGGUUCUAGGUUUCCUUUCUGAAACUGUAGCUCAGAUCAGCAUCCACAAAGCAAGCACUCCACGGUGCCUCUUUCCACACGGCCACUGCAUGCACUGUUUCUAGAAACCUGGUGUAGCUACAUGAGGAGCCCUCGCUAGAUGAGCAGGCACCCAGAAUUCAGAGAGGAGCCUUCACUAACCUUGAGUGGGAGAGAAGCCUCUGAGGCACACAGAAAUACUUGUCUGAAGGAGUUGGCUCUUAGAAAUCACAGCACAGAGGCCUCCAGCAGAAGGGGAAGCUCCUGUAGUAGCUGCCACCCUGCAGGCACCCCUCUUACUGGGGUCACCAAGAAACAGCACUACAGAGUCUUGGAACUCUACCCAAGCAAAGAUGCACUUCGACUGCUAGGCCUAAGGCACACGUGGAUGCUGGAGCUCAGCUCGACAACUGGGAAUGGAGGACCCCUCCAGAGCCCCAAAAGACCCCCGCCCGGGGGUGACAUCAGUUGGGGAGCUAUUAAUAACUGCCCUCCCCUCUGUCAUAUUUCCUGAACUGUGUGGGGAAGGCGAUUGUGAGGCGCUCUGCUGGAAUUUGGCAGCGCGGAGGCUUGGAGAGCAGCCCCAUGCUGGCUCCUAUUCAGCCGGCCAGUUUUCCUCGAGCUUUGGAAGUUUCACUCAGCCGUGCACUCAAUGGCUUCACAAAGCUGAUUACAAGCUUCAGCGCAUUCCUGAAGGAGCCAAAAGCGACGCAGGUGCAAACGAGCCGAGGGAGCCCCUUAUCCCGGUGACAGAAUGGGACAAGCUGGGAAAGGCUUGGACCACACAAAUCCAAGGCUCACCAGGCAGCAGAGAGCCUGCCUUGGGAACCGGGGGUCAUUAUCCGCCCUAUUCAGCGGGGCCGGGGACCCUGGGGCCGGGGAGGCCGGCCGGGCGCAAGCGCCACCGCCAGUGCGCGCCUGCGGCAGUGGGGACCCCGCUGGGCGCUGCAGCCCGUUGGGCUGUUGGGCGCUGCGUUUGUUCCUGCCGACAGCGGUCCGCGAAAUCCAUCCUGCUCGUGAAAGUCGGUGUCCACGCUAACCCGGGUACUGGAGAACGAGGGUAGCGAAGAUGCGCAGUACGCGGACAGUGCGCAACUUCGUCUCCAUCACAGUCACUUAUCUGGAAACCUGCGGCUGGAUUAAUCGCUAUAUUCCCAAGAUGAGCAGUGCUGCAAUCCGCCGAGAACACGGGUGGGAACACGGAACCAUACCCCAGGUUCUCGCGGGGCCAGCAGCUGGCCAGCUCCCUGCAGCGAAUGCUGCACAGUUGCUGGCACCUGUUCAGGUUGGGGGGUUCCGGGCACUUAGGUGCCCAGAGGCUGUAGAAGAAGGGAAGGACAUAGGCCUGUGGGAACCCCGGCGCGUGAGAGAGAUUGGUUGGCCCCCAGAGAAGGCAGAGAACUGCCUAUGCAAAUAAAGAGCUUUUUGACCUGACGGGAAAUAAUGCUUCUGAACCUUCAGACCAUGGCCUAUUCAGAUGCAGAAAAAUGUUCCCUCCCAUCUUGAUCUCCCAGCCUCACCCCUACCACACCCACCGCUGAGCCUUAGGCCCCUCCCCUGUGAUUUCUGCCUUCAGGAGUUAGCAAUAUUUACUUAGGAACUGUGGGCGUGGAAAUAAGUCGUACUUGUCCAGCCCCUGGUCCUACUUAUUCAAGUUAAAGAUGGUGGGCUGUGUGGUGCCAAAGCUCUAGGGAGAGUGCUUGUCUCCAAAUCCUUUCUCUGCUGAAGUCAAAACAUCACCUUUGAGGGAACUAUUAAUCGGUGCUGGAGAUUGCCCUGCCUGAGGAGGUGUGAAAGCCAGGCAUCAGCAUGUGAAGCUUAAGGUCAUAGAGAUGGAAACUGUGUGCCUCCAUUUUUGGCAGCAUAUUAAACAUCCAAGAUGGGCAUUGGCCCAUCACACUAUUAGAUUGUUAGAUGAGGGGGUACCCCAAGAUGCCCCCCCCCCAACAGCCUCUGCAAGCUCCUCUUAAAAGUGUCCUGGUUGUUCCUCUCCAGCAGCUUGAGGAAACCUUCAAGAGCAAAUAUGUGAAUCCCUGCAAACCAGUUCCAGCUAAGGUUCCCAGGACAGCCGUCCUCGUGCCCUCUGGAUGCCUUCCAACUUCAGCUCUCACCUGAAUCCUGUCACCUCUGAUCCGUGGACAAUGCGGAGCCGGACAGGCCCUGGUCAACCAGGCAGAACAGGUCUAUGCAAAUGCUGGAGGCCAGCCCUGGGAACAGUGCGCCCAUUGUCCAGGGCCUUUCAAAGCCGGGAGCAGCUGCUCAGACUUGCCGCCCUGGACCCUCGACUGCCAGAGUAGCCUCAUCAUUGCGAGACAUAGGCUCUGAAAUCAUACGCCCCGAGUUCACGAGCAGCCUCGCCCUGGGUGUUUCUGUCUGUGCCACAUUUCAAAGUCCAGAGCUGCUUUUCCGUUGUUGGGGACCAUAGGAGGGCAGGGGCAGGGGAGAGUUUGCGGGUUUCUUACUAGAGGAUCUGAAAACUUUACAGACUGGCCUUGGCUCAAAGGACUAAGUGGGCAAGGCUUUUCUGUUGUCUCUCGCUUGCUGUUUGCAAGUUUAAGUGCAUCGAAAGGAGCCAGGGUGAAGAGACAGAGCAAGAGCCAGCCACAGUGCUGAGGAUAUUUUCAUUAGCUUGGCGCUUCCUAGAGAAGCCAGCAGGCUCACUGGAUCAGCACCCUCAGACCACCUCAGCUCCCUUCACAGAAGCAUCAGUGGUUUAUAUAACCACUUCCAUACUCCCUCCCUGACUUCCCCUCCCCUCCUCUGCAAUCUGAAUUAGAAGGGAUGCUCUUGGGCCAGGAGAUGGUGGUUCCUAGUGUAAGAGAUGAGAAUGAGGACCAGCACUGGGUGGCCUGUAGUGUGUCAAACCUGAGACUACAUCCCUCUGGUCUUUAGGCACAGAGCCUAGUGGAGAGGAUUUCCAAGGAUUUGGGGGGAGAACCAGGGCUUCUGGUGAGACAGCUUCCUCCUCACUUUAAUAUGUUUGGUCCCAGGGACCUCAAGUGUAUUGCAUUUUGCUUUGUUCUGGGUCUCAUUCUGUAACUCAAGCUGGCCUAGAACUCAGUGAAAUCCAGGUGUGUCAGCUUUACCGAGUGUGGUAGCACAGGCCUGAGGCACCCUGCUCUGUGGACACGUCCCCUGACUCUUCUCAGGACUCUGCUCCUGAUCUCUCUGCCUUCUCCCUGGAUGGAGCAUGCUUCCAGAAAACAGCAAAAAAACCACUAGGUCACUUCUAGCAGGAUCGUACUCAAGAUAGGAAGGUUGCAGGGUGUGUCCUCCUAUACUGCGUAAGGCCUCCCCUCUGUACCUCAACCCUCCCAAGGAGCCUUCCCAAUUCUUGAUAGCCUGAACAGGAAGGGCUCAGAUAGAUGUGAAGUGCGACAAAAUAUUGUUUUACACAGGAAAAAAGGCUGGAAAUUAGUGGAGCAGAGAUCCUGUAACACACGAGGCUUAUAUAUUUGGGUUUGAUCCUCUGAGCAUUCUAGGCUGCCCAAAAGCAGGGAGACCAUAGGGCAGCCAUUUGAAUAUUACUGUGGUGGGGAAGGCAUCAGGAUGUAAACUGCAUGGACAAGCUGGGCUGUCAGUAAGGACCAGAUGCCCUAGAGAUGCUCAGGAAGUGCAGAGGUCAUGGAUAGGAGGGUUGAUAGGGCUGGCAGCCAGAGAUGUCAUGGACAAAACAGGGACUCCUUUCUGCAAAAGAGCCUUUCCUGUUUCUGGGGAACAGUUAUGGGCUUGCCCUUGCCUCUCUCCCCUUCCCCCACACAGUGGGCAUUCAUCCUCACAUGCUUAUGCACACUUGCACACAUCAGGUGCCAGACAUCAGCUCGUAGGUAUAGCAAGUCAUUCACAAGUGACAGACUCACACUCAAAACCAGGGCAUUCCCUAGUUCUAGAGCCGGGUUCCAGCUGAAGGCUGGAUGACUCAUCUGGCCCGAGUGUUUGACCUCCAGGCAGAACCUGAAGAACUCUGGGUUAGGCACACAGGACAGUGUGAAUCCAAGGGCCUUUCCUUCUGUCCUGUCAGGAUCUGGUUUUGUCCCAGGUUGGACAACUUGUGGGUGGGCUUGUCAACUUUUCUUCUGUGGUUCCUGCUUUGCCUUUUCUGUUUGUAUUUGUUCCUGGGUUGCUCUCAGAGUUACAUAUUUAACGCUAUCCAGGAGGGUACCUGGCCAGCACACAUGGUCCCAAGCACCCAAAAUUCAGACUGUCAUGCACAGAUUUUUAAAGCUGCUGAAUGAGAAGGAGAUCAUUGAUUACUUGCGAUGUUGGCUACAGAAAUAGCGGUACUUGGAAUGUGUUGCAUUAAAUAGAACACAUUGUUAAAGUGAGCCUCACUGACAGCUGCUCUUGGAAGUCAGCGUGGCCUUGUUAGCUCCUCUUUCUGGCUGUGUGCCUUUGGUCUUUCCAUGAUCCUCUAGGAAAUGGAAAAGGAAAAAACAAGUGCAGAGGAAAGGACUGAGCCUGCGCUGGGUAGAGGCAGCCAGAGACCCUCCCAGCUCCUUUCUAAGUUACUCUUGUAACAAUCAAAACUCCCUUGCUUGCAGCAACAGAAAAAGAAGUACACAUUGUAUUUAUUGCUGGAAUUGUAUUCUUUCUACUAGAGCUUUGAUUCUGUUUAAUUACAUUAUGAUCUCCCACAGCCUUCCUUAAGCCCUGCAGCAACUUUUGAAGAAUCUUGGUACUACCAUUGGGUGGCAGAGGAAUGUUGAUUCCAGGAGCCCCUGUGUGAAUGCCAUGGCAUUAUAAAGAAACCUCUUUCUGCUAUUUUCAAACUUUUAGUCAGCUCUUGACACUUUCUGGCUUUAAUUUUGCCUUACAAAUGAGUCACACAGGUCUAACUGCCACCACUCAAACCAAACACAAAAUUCUGAGCAGAAACUUGUCUUCUAUGAACAGGGCCUGUCCCAAGAAUGAGUUCAGUCUGGAAAUUCUUCUCUGGGCUAACACAGAGCUUUAGAAGCAUAUGAAACCAGACUUAGGCCAAGGAGGCCAUGAGGGAACAUGCUUAUAAAGGUCUGUGUUACAUCCCCUCAUGCACUGGGGAGUGUGCUUGCCAUAGUGCACGUGGAGGACAGAGGACAGCCUUCAGGAGUCACUUCUCUCCUUCCAUGCUGUGGGUCCCAAGGAUCUAAGGCAGGCCAUCAGGCUUGGCACCAAGUGCCCUUAGAUGUUGAGCCUUCUUGCCAAUCUAAGUAAACUUUAAUAUUAAAAAUUUUCAAGGUACUCUCUAUAUAUAAUAUUUUAGAUACCAGAUGUCUGUAAGCGAAGUCAUAAAAAAAAUAGAAAAUUUAUUUCAUCAUUUGAUAAUAAGAAAUGAAAAACCUGCUCCCUGCUUAUUGUCCUCAACAUAUCCUAUUAAAGUACACCAUGAACAUUUUACAUGAAAAGGCUUGGAGUAUAUACAGCAUCGUUCAAUAUAUUUACUUUGGGUAUUGUAUAACCAAUAUGAAAAAAUUUGGGAAAAUAUGAAGUUAAGUCCACUAUGCCAAUAAAUUGGAAAUAUCUCGGAGAUAAUUUUGAAUAAAAUGAUUUUUCAUCAUAAAA